AUUGAACGCUGGCGGCAUGCUUUACACAUGCAAGUCGAACGGCAGCGCGGGCUUCGGCCUGGCGGCGAGUGGCGAACGGGUGAGUAAUACAUCGGAACGUGCCCAGUAGUGGGGGAUAGCUCGGCGAAAGCCGGAUUAAUACCGCAUACGACCUGAGGGUGAAAGCGGGGGAUCUUCGGACCUCGCGCUAUUGGAGCGGCCGAUGGCAGAUUAGCUAGUUGGUGGGGUAAAGGCCUACCAAGGCGACGAUCUGUAGCUGGUCUGAGAGGACGACCAGCCACACUGGGACUGAGACACGGCCCAGACUCCUACGGGAGGCAGCAGUGGGGAAUUUUGGACAAUGGGCGAAAGCCUGAUCCAGCAAUGCCGCGUGUGUGAUGAAGGCCUUCGGGUUGUAAAGCACUUUUGGCGGGAACGAAAAGGACUGUGCCAAUACCACGGUUCGAUGACGGUCCCCGCAGAAUAAGCACCGGCUAACUACGUG
rnacentral:rRNA from 1 species